AAUGUUGGCAUGAGUAGCGAGACGUGGGUGAGAAUCCCACGGGCCGUAAACCCAAGGUUUCCAGGGGAAGGUUCGUCCGCCCUGGGUUAGUCAGGACCUAAGCCGAGGCCGAAAGGCGUAGGUGAUGGACAACAGGUUGAUAUUCCUGUACCACCAAUAACCGUUUGAGAAAUGGGAUGACACAGUAGGAUAAGCUAACCGCACUGUUGGUUAUGUGCGGGCAAGUAUUGAGGCAGUUCCGAUAGGCAAAUCCGUCGGAAUAAUGCUGGGGUACGAUGCGGAGCGAAAUUUAGUAGCGAAGUAGCUGAUUUCACACUGUCGAGAAAAGUCUCUAUCGAGGUUAAAGGUGCCUGUACCGCAAACCGACACAGGUGGGUGAGGAGAGUAUCCUAAGGCCAGCGAGAGAACUGUUGUUAAGGAACUCGGCAAAAUGACCCCGUAACUUAGGGAGAAGGGGUGCCUUCGAAAGAAGGCCGCAGAGAAUAGGCCCAAGCGACUGUUUACCAAAAACAUAGGUUUCUGCUAAGUCGCAAGACGAUGUAUAGGAGCUGACGCCUGCCCGGUGCUGGAAGGUUAAGGGGAUCUGUUAGAGCAAUCGAAGCAGUGAACUUAAGCCCCAGUAAACGGCGGCCGUAACUAUAACGGUCCUAAGGUAGCGAAAUUCCUUGUCGGGUAAGUUCCGACCCGCACGAAAGGCGUAAUGAUUUGGGCACUGUCUCAACGAGAGACUCGGUGAAAUUUUAGUACCUGUGAAGAUGCAGGUUACCCGCGACAGGACGGAAAGACCCCAUGGAGCUUUACUGUAGCUUGACAUUGAGUCUCGGUGCUACAUGUACAGGAUAGGUGGGAGACUAUGAAGCAUGGACGUCAGUCUGUGUGGAGUCAUCCUUGGGAUACCACCCUUGUAGUACUGGGAUUCUAACCAGAGGCCAUGAAUCUGGUCUUGGGACACUGUCAGGUGGACAGUUUGACUGGGGCGGUCGCCUCCCAAAAAGUAACGGAGGCGCUCAAAGGUUCUCUCAGUACGGUCGGAAAUCGUACGAAGAGUGUAAAGGCAAAAGAGAGCUUGAUUGCAAGACAUACAGGUCGAGCAAGGACGAAAGUCGGACUUAGUGAUCCGGUGGUUCCGCAUGGAAGGGCCAUCGCUCAACGGAUAAAAGCUACCCUGGGGAUAACAGGCUGAUCUCCCCCAAGCGUCCACAGCGACGGGGAGGUUUGGCACCUCGAUGUCGGCUCGUCGCAUCCUGGGGCUGAAUUCGGUCCCAAGGGUUUGGCUGUUCGCCAAUUAAAGC
rnacentral:rRNA from 1 species